rnacentral:lncRNA from 1 species
GCUGCUGUUUAAGGAAGGAUAGUUGAUAGUGCCUUGGAUAAUAAUUGACUUUAAUGAUUCUGUCACUGAAUUUGAUUUGGCUUCAAAUGCACAUCAUUUUUAUGAUUAUUAGCUUGAGAAUAAUGGCAUUGUUGUCAUUUGGGGAAGAAUAAAUCUGCCAUGGUUUUAUAUGGCGAAAUCAGAAUUUUGUUCCUCUACAUUUGUACUGGAUUUGGUGACAGUAGAUAUGCGUGAGAGGCACAUGGGAAAGGUAAAUAAUGGAUUAAAAUUUUCUUGUUCAG